UACUUUCACAUUUUGUUGACAUUGCUGGUU
rnacentral:piRNA from 1 species